UUCAUUUUCCAAAUUGAUGGUUUCCAAUUCACGCUCAAGUGAAUUCAUCUGACUGAUCUGUAAAAAGAGAAGAAGAUCUUCCCUUAGGAAUGUUGUUUCGCUUGGAAAGAACUGUAUAUCUACCAGAAAUACCCACAACACGUUCUGAGAGCUACGAGAUGCUCUCCUGAUCUAGACAUGCUGCAACACUUGAAAGGGUCAUUCCAGGCUUCCCGUAAGAAUUUAAUACAAAGUUAACAGCCAUUUGUAACCACUUUGUGUAAUCUCAAGAGAAUUAAUUCUUUAACUGCUAAAUUUCAACAAAAAUGAAGGUGACGAAUUUGGGGGCACCACUCGAGUUUCCUGUGCUCUACAGACCAAGAGUCCAAGUGUACAGCAGGAAGGCGUUACUCUUUUCUACUUGCUGGUAGGUGGCUGUGACACUACAGCCUCAUGAGGUGUCCUGCCCUCCCAACCACAGGGGGUGAGCGCUGCACUUGUGCUGAACAGAGGAGAGAGAGAAGAGGCCAACCACUGGGGGUUGCAGGUCAAAUGGCAGCAAGAAAAGGAACAGCCAAGGCCACGCCCCUUCCAAGGGAACCAUGAAGGGGAUGAGGGAAUUUCCGAGGCUUUAUUUGUGAAUGAAGAUAGCUUACUGUGUCUUUGAGCUCCUGUUUCAGAUGCUGUAGCUCCUUGUGGUGUUGGUCCUUCAUUCGUUCAAUGACCAUUUCUGCUUCUAUGCUCAUAUUUAGUGGAUUGCAAUCUUCAGAACCAAGCCCUAAAAAAAAAAGCAUGUGUUUUCUUGAAGCCCCAAGUGACGAGCAAAGCACCUCACCACCUGCUCUCCUGGAUUUACUGAGACUCAUGGAUGUCAGUUACUACAGCAGGAUUCUGUAACAGCCCAGCUCAGGCUUAAACCAUCCCGAGGCACCUGGGGCAAAGCAAUGCCAAGCUUUCAUUUUAGUCUUAAUGCUUAACACAGUGACUGACUGCUCUCCAGCGGCAACACUUCCCCUGAGGUUAAAUAUCAGAAUGGGGGCCCCACUCCUGGGCUCUCACUGAACUGCCCACAGUGCAGGUUUGGGUGGAAGGGGAGGACGGAGGUGUUGUAAACCCUGCAUUAAGCUCACCUCUACACUCUCCCUAUCCUGGAGUCAUUAGGCACACGCGUCAUCACCCAGUGGCAAUCUGAAUAGCCCUCAGACAUCUUUGACUUCUGCCAGCUGAAGCCAUAGCCAAGAAUCAUUGCUGCAUACAAGCACUGGAGCCAUUCCCUCUCCACCAGUACAGCUGAAAUCUCUAUGCCAGCUCCAUGUCACCAGAGGUUCCACCUUACAAUGGAGCAAUUCUCCCUGGACCAGAUAGGUCAGCUCUGGGACCUGGCUCGGCUGGCAGCUUGGCAUGGAGCAGCUGCACCACACUAAGAAUAUGUCUUCACUACCGGCCGGAUCAGCAGGCAGUGAUCAAUCCAGCGGGGAUCGAUUUAUCGCGUCUAGUCUAGAUGUGAUAAAAUCGAUCCCGAGUGCUUUCCUGUCAACUCCUGUA